rnacentral:lncRNA from 10 species
AGAAUGUGUGCAGCAAUCAAGUCUCAGGACUGCACUAUUUUGUCAGUUCUUAACCCACAUGAUCAAAUAAAAUAUGCUUUCUCUCCAGGAUGUGCAUGUCAUGAACCACUGAAUAUAAUGCUGUUGAAAAGGAUCAUGGGCUGGACGCAGUGGCUUAUAUCUGUAAUCCCAGCACUUUGGGAGGCCAAGGCAGGUGGAUCACUUGAGGUCAGGAGUUCGAGACCAGCCUGGCCAACAUGGUGAAAUGCUGUCUUCACUAAAAAUAUGAAAAUUAGCUGAGCAUGUAAAAUUAGCAUCUGUAAUCCCAGCUACUUGGGAGGCUGAGGCAGGAGAAUUGCUUGAACCUGGGAGGCGGAGGUUGCAGUGAGCCAAGAUCAUGCCGUUGCACUCUGCACUCCAGCCGGGGCGACAAAGUAAAACUCCGUCUCAAAAAAAAAAAAAAAAAAAGGAAUUAUGAAGCAUAGCACAUGUACAUUAAUAUGAUUUGAAAGUCUUAUUUCAUUACAUGUUUUCCAUCAUAUUGAAUUAACAUCAUAUCACAGUUAGCUAUUGUUUAUCCUAAUAAGAAAAUAUGUAGUGUAAUUAAGUCUCUGUCUCAUAUUUAUAAAAACAGAUAUAAUUUGGGACAGCAGAUUAACUCCUAUGAAAUGACUAAGAAUGACUAAUACAGAGGACAGUUCACAGAGUAACUUCCCCAGGCACUUUUUACACAUUCAAUUAUUCUCUUGCUUUGUGUGUGUGUGUGUAUCCUUACUGAAUGUGACACACAUACAGAGAUAAAGAUAUUAUUUCACGCUAUCUUUCUCUUUCUCCACACAUAUAUAUAUACACACAUAUAUAUUUAAUUUAAAUUUUUCAUUUCUAAGUAAAUAGAAAAUAUGCUAUGCUUGGGGGUUAAGAAAAUAUACAUGAGAUACACUCCAUUUUCAAAUCUCAUAUUAGGCUCUUUCCCUUUUAUCUUUGAGAAUUUCAUCUUUAAAAAUAAGUUACUAUAUUCAUAAAGUGUAUUUGAGACAUAGCUUUAUUAUCUUUAAACAUCAUUCCAGGUAGAGCCUUACUUAUCAUCUAAUUCACCAUCUAAUAGCUUUUUGAAAAGCACAAUAUGAUUAUGUAGUCAUGAAUUUUAUAUUUUACUUCUUGGAAUGUUUUGGACUGUAGGGAGUUGUACAGCAUUUAGUCAUAAUUUCUUUUAUUUAUUUUGAAAAUCAG